GAUGAACGCCGGCAGUGUGCCUAAUACAUGCAAGUCGUACGCACUGGCCCAACUAAUUGAUGGUGCUUGCUGAAUUGACGAUGGAUCACCAGUGAGUGGCGGACGGGUGAGUAACACGUAGGUAACCUGCCCCGGAGCGGGGAAUAACAUUUGGAAACAGAUGCUAAUACCGCAUAACAACAAAAGCCGCAUGGUUUUUCUGGAAAGAUGGCUUUGGCUAUCACUCUGGGAUGGACCUGCGGUGCAUUUAGCUAGUUGGUAAGGUAACGGCUUACCCAAGGCGAUGAUGCAUAGCCGAGUUGAGAGACUGAUCGGCCACAAUGGGAACUGAGACACGGUCCAUAACUUCUACGGGAGGCAGCAGUAGGGAAUCUUCCACAAUGGGCGCAAGCUGAUGGAGCAACACCGCGUUAUUAAGAAAGGGUUUCGGCCGCUUAAACUCUGUUGUUGGAGAAGAACGUGCGUUAGAGUAACUGUUACGCAGUGACGGUAUCCAACCAGAAAGUCACGGCUAACUACGUGCCAGCAGCCGCGGUAAUACGUAGGUGGCAAGCGUUAUCCGGAUUUAUUGGGCGUAAAGCGAGCGCAGGCGGUUGCUUAGGUCUGAUGUGGAAACUCGGCUUAACCGAAGAAGUGCAUCGGAAACCGGGCGACUUGAGUGCAGAAGAGGACAGUGGAACUCCAUGUGUAGCGGUGGAAUGCGUAGAUAUAUGGAAGAACACCAGUG
rnacentral:rRNA from 1 species